rnacentral:lncRNA from 1 species
AGUAACUGCCCCAAAUCAGAUGGUGCCUCUGAAGACAAUCAGCAUUGCACAGACAGUUCACAGCAUGACAGUAUCUUCCACAUUCAGGAGACAAUAAAGGGUACGAACCAAGCCAGUAACUGCCCCAAAUCAGAUGGUGCCUCUGAAGACAAUCAGCAUUGCACAGACAGUUCACAGCAUGACAGUAUCUUCCACAUUCAGGAGACAAUAAAGGGUAUGAACCAAGCCAGUAACUGCCCCAAAUCAGAUGGUGCCUCUGAAGACAAUCAGCAUUGCACAGACAGUCCACAGCAUGACAGUAUCUUCCACAUUCAGGAGACAAUAAAGGGUAUGAACCAAGCCAGUAACUGCCCCAAAUCAGAUGGUGCCUCUGAAGACAAUCAGCAUUGCACAGACAGUUCACAGCAUGACAGUAUCUUCCACAUUCAGGAGACAAUAAAGGGUAUGAACCAAGCCAGUAACUGCCCCAAAUCAGAUGGUGCCUCUGAAGACAAUCAGCAUUGCACAGACCGUCCACAGCAUGACAGUAUCUUCCACAUUCAGUGGCUCUUGAUGUAGAACCACCCAUAGAUCCUUCUGCAAAAGAAGUCCAGAAAUCUUCAAUUGAACAAGCAACAGAAAUAACAAGUACCACAACUACCAUGAAAGGUACUGUUUGUUAAACUUCAUAGAAAGCCUUUAUGAACUUAAAAAUCUCUGUUUUUUCUGAUGUGCUUUGUUCAUUCAGGUCGAAAGGUGGUAAAGAAAAAGAAAUGGGACAGUGAUGAAAUGAAUGCAGUUGAAAAGCAUCUAAACAGGUUCAUCAAAACUUGUACAGUGCCAGGAAAACAACAAUGUGAGGCCUGUAUAAAUGCUGAACCUGUUGCCUUGAAAGACAGGGAUUGGUUGUCUGUAAAGUUCUUUGUGAAGAACAAAAUCACUACCCUUAAAAGAAGAAUGUAAAGUCAGUUAUUUUAUUUUGUUUGGUAUCUUAUUUUCUGGUAUUUUAGAUUUCUGGUUAUUACAUUUGUUUUAAAAGGAUCUUAGAAUCUCUUUUUUUUUUUUUUGGAAAUGGGUGCAAUUCAGUAAAGUGUCUUUGAAUCGAAUGUAAAUAUGUACAGAAUACUGUUCAGAAUGCUACAUAAAAAUAGCAAAAAAAAAUAAAUAUUUUAUUCAUGUUAUUAAAUUUUGAUCU